UGGCUCACCAAUCACAUGCCUAUCACAUAGUAAAACCCAGCCCAUGACCUCUAACAGGGGCCCUUUCAGCCCUCCUAAUGACAUCCGGCCUAGCUAUAUGAUUCCACUUUUACUCUACCACCCUACUAACACUAGGCCUACUGACCAAUGCACUAACCAUAUACCAGUGAUGAUGUGAUGUUGUACGAGAAGGUACAUACCAAGACCACCACACAGUACCCGUCCAAAAAGUCCUUCGGUAUGGAAUAAUUUUAUUCAUCAUCUCAGAAGUCUUUUUCUUCGCUGGAUUCUUCUGAGCAUUCUACCACUCCAGCCUAGCCCCCACCCCUCAACUAGGAGGACACUGACCCCCAACAGGCAUCACUCCACUCAACCCCCUAGAAGUCCCACUCCUAAACACAUCUGUACUACUCGCAUCGGGAGUUUCAAUUACUUGAGCUCACCAUAGCCUAAUAGAGAACAAUUGUAAUCAAGCAAUUCAAGCACUACUUAUCACAAUCUUACUAGGCAUCUACUUCACCCUCCUACAAGUUUCAGAAUACUUUGAAGCCCCCUUUACUAUCGCCGAUGGUAUGUAUGGUUCAACAUGUUUUGUAGCUACGGGCUUCCACGGGCUCCCCGUCAUCAUUGGUUCAACAUUCCUUACUGUUUGCCUUAUCCGCCAACUAUUAUAUCAUUUUACAUCCAAGUACCACUUCGGCUUCGAAGCCGCUGCUUGAUACUGACACUUUGUAGAUGUAGUUUGACUAUUCCUAUAUGUCUCUAUCUACUGGUGAGGAUC
rnacentral:lncRNA from 1 species